rnacentral:rRNA from 1 species
UGGUAGUCCACGCUGUAAACGAUGAUAACUUGUUGUAGGCGAUACACAGUCUGUAACUAAGCGAAAGCGAUAAGUUAUCCACCUGGGGAGUACGACCGCAAGGUUGAAACUCAAAGGAAUUGACGGGGGCCCGCACAAGCGGAGGAACAUGUGGUUUAAUUCGAUGAUACGCGAGGAACCUUACCCGGGCUUGAAAGUUAGCGACGGUUUUGGAAACAGAACUUCUCUUCGGAGCGCGAAACUAGGUGCUGCAUGGUUGUCGUCAGCUCGUGCCGUGAGGUGUCGGGUUAAGUCCCAUAACGAGCGCAACCCCUACUGAUAGUUGCCAGCGAGUAAUGUCGGGGACUCUAUCGGGACUGCCGGUGUAAACCGCGAGGAAGGUGGGGAUGACGUCAAAUCAGCACGGCCCUUACGUCCGGGGCUACACACGUGUUACAAUGGUCGGUACAGCGGGAAGCUACACAGUGAUGUGAUGCCAAUCUCGAAAGCCGAUCUCAGUUCGGAUUGGAGGCUGCAACUCGCCUCCAUGAAGUUGGAUUCGCUAGUAAUCGCAUAUCAGCCAUGAUGCGGUGAAUACGUUCCCGGGCCUUGUACACACCGCCCGUCAAGCCAUGGAAGUUUGGGGUGCCUGAAGUGCGUGACCGCAAGGAGCGUCCUAGGGCAAAACAGAUAACUGGGGCU